UACAGAGGUCUCAAGCGUUGUUCGGAUUCAUUGGGCGUAAAGGGCGCGUAGGCGGGCCAGCCAGUCUGUGGUGAAAGCCCCCGGCUUAACCGGGGAAGUGCCGUGGAUACUGCUGGCCUCGAGGAGGGUAGGGGCACCUGGAACGGUCGGUGGAGCGGUGAAAUGCGUUGAUAUCGACCGGAACUCCGGUGGCGAAGGCGAGGUGCUGGGCCCUUUCUGACGCUGAUGCGCGAAAGCCAGGGGAGCAAACGGG
rnacentral:rRNA from 1 species